UUUUUAAAAAUCCUUUUUUUCCCCCCCCCCCCCCCCCCCCCCCCCCCCCCAUAUCAUUCAUUCCUAUUUGAGUAUUUUAAAAAAGCUUGCAGUAGGCUAUUGAAACCACCCACUUUCCUCUGCACUGUUGGGGUUCACCAGCAAUAUUUAUCUUGUUCUGCUGCCUGCAAGAUCUGUAGCGGUUAACUUUCUGUUUAAAAUAGUAUUUCUUUCAGUGGAGGAGAAGAUAACUGGCAUGCUGGGCUGCAAAUUGUUUGAGCUGCCACUUUGGAUGUUUGAGAGUUUCUGUUGGGUCUUUUUUGCUUCUCUUUAAAUCCUGACAAGGAGGUUAUUUGCAGUUCCAACUCAGGCUUACCCUGCUUCUGUAUGGCACAGUAAAAGAGCUCUGUAUGUAUCACUACUUCUCUUUAUUUAAAUCGUACUUCCUGCUGCCCCUAAACAAGUUGUCUUAGUGCUUGAAGGUGGGUUACAAAAUGCAUUUUCUUCUCUGUCGUUCGGCCAGGUGAUGGGUUAAAGAUUUGCGGGCGUAUUCGAGUUUCCUAGUUCCUGUAUAAAGUACAGCCACGAGCUGCCCUCAGAAUAAACCUGGGCUUGGCACAGAUUGGUUCUAAGCAUGAUUAGAUGUAAAUGCUAGAUAAGCGGAACUGCUUGGGAAGUGGAAACAUUUCAGAAUUCUACUGUUUGUGGCAUCAAAACAGGUAUUUGCAAAGCAUUAGUUCUUCAAUUUUAACAACUGACAACUGAAAAACUUCAUAUUAAAAACAAAAAGUUUAAGUUACAAAUCCAGAGUUAUGCAAAUGCUUGUGGGGUUUUUUUUGUUUGUUUCCUCUCCCCAUCUGUAGUGAACUUUGGGAAAAAUUAAACACAAUUUCAGUAAAUCAGGAUAUAAUGAUUAGCUUGUACUUAAACUUUUUUCUUACAGCAUCUCAAAGCACUCCUCUGGGAUUUGUGGUUUAAAUCCCAUGACACUCCUUUGUAUUAGCUGUGGCAAAUAGCUCUGGAAAGCUGAGGCAGAAAGAAUUGGAGUAAGCUGGCUGAGUUCGUAAAGGAAGUCUCUGCUGGAAGUGGGAUUGGAGCAGAGUUUCCUGAUGCCCAGGGCUGUACUCGUAGCAGGAACACAAAGGACUGCUAGGACCGCAUUCAGCCACUUUAAAACUGAGAUGUAAGCUGGGGUGACGCAUCAGGAAGAAGAGUACGCAUCUCUCUGUAGAUCUUCGACGGUAAAGCACUGGAGCCUGGGAGACUGUUAUUGUGAGUUUAUCUUCCCCACUUCCAACAGGACUUUGGUUCCAUCGAGUAAUGACUGGAUUCUGAACAAUACAGAUACAGAAGUACAUCGGGGGGGGGGGGUUGUGUGCCCUGCACUGGGAUUGUGCUGCUCUGAUGCCCUGUUCUGGGCGCUGCACUGAGCUUCGCAGUCCUUUGGGUUGCGCAGCAUGAGCACUAGCAAUGAACGACUCGGUGGUGUGAGUUUGAGUUGGCAGCUUUCUUUGCAAUUAUGAAAUAAGCACGUGAUGAAUUUUUUUAAGAGAUGAGUAACUUGGUUUUGUGUCAUAUCCAUGCAGAUAGAUUUUUCUUAGAGAAGGACGUGUUUUUUUCUUAUUUUGAGUAGAAAUACAGGAUACAGACAUAUUUCAAUGUAAGGUUUAUGUUUGACUGUAGGUAAUGCAGAAUAAGUCCAACGUGCAUGAUGUAUAUAACGUUUCCUCAGAAUUAAAUGUGAUUUGGGCAAAGCAUGUGUGUAUUUGUGGGGGUUUUCAGUAAAGAAAAAAAAAGACAAA